AUUGAACGCUGGCGGCAGGCCUAACACAUGCAAGUCGAACGAGUGUCUGACGGGUGAGUAAUGUCUGGGAAACUUCCUGAUGGAGGGGGAUAACUACUGGAAACGGUAGCUAAUACCGCAUACCAUCGGAUGUGCCCAGAUGGGAUAAGCUCGUAGGUGGGGUAAAGGCUCAUCUAGGCGACGAUCCCUAGCUGGUCUGAGAGGAUGACCGUCCACACUGGAAAUGAGAAACGGGCCAGACUCCUACGGGAGGCAGCAGUGGGGAAUAUUGCGCAAUGGGCGCAAGCCUGAUGCAGACAUGCCGCGUGUGUGAAGAAGGCCUUCGGGUUGUAAAGCACUUUCGGCGAGGAGGCGUUACUCGCAGAAGAAGCACCGGCUAACUCCGUGCCAGCAGCCGCGGUAAUAC
rnacentral:rRNA from 1 species